UACGAAGGGGGCUAGCGUUGCUCGGAAUCACUGGGCGUAAAGGGUGCGUAGGCGGGUCUUUAAGUCAGGGGUGAAAUCCUGGAGCUCAACUCCAGAACUGCCUUUGAUACUGAAGAUCUUGAGUUCGGGAGAGGUGAGUGGAACUGCGAGUGUAGAGGUGAAAUUCGUAGAUAUCGGGAGGAACACCAGUGGCGAAGGCGGCGACCUGGGCUGACACUGACGCUGAGGUUCGAAAGCGUGGGGAGCAAACAGG
rnacentral:rRNA from 1 species